GCGUCGGUGGUGCAACGGUCUAGCACAUACUCCCGGAAAGAGUAAAGAGUAGGAUCUUGAUUCAAAUCUCGGCUGACGCA